UUUUUUUUUUUUCCUUUACUUUGGUUUUUAUGGUUAUAUUCGUCAGUUUGUUUGGUUUCCUGGAAAGUAGAAUUUCUCCUUUUUACUUAUGUCUUCGGUGCCAUAUUUGAUGUUAAUUGAAAGCUCUGAUUCAGUUGAUUAUUCAUUUGCCUAACAUUUCUUCUCCAAUCGAGUCGGUGCCAUAUUUGAUGUAAAGUAUCUAAUACGGCUCAUUUAAGUAUCUUAUAAUAAGCAUGUUAAUAAAGCUUGUACCAUUUUGGUGUCUGGUUGAUUAUUAAUUUAUGUACCUUCUAGCCUAUAUUGAUCAAAGAUUGCCAUUGGUGCUUGAGAUUUUAUGUCCUAAUGCGCAUGGAUGCUUUUAUAAUCUCCUGUGACUGCAUGCAAUUUUUCAUCACAGAUAUUCUGAAAACAAAGAGAAAUUGGAUGAAUUCAAUCAAAGGUUUUGACUAUUUCAGCAUUCUUCCUUGGUAUUAUAGGGUUCAUUAAAUGAAAAAUCCAGGAAAUUUUUUGACCAAAAAAAAAAAAAUUGGGGGUAUUAUCACUUCCUGAAUUUGUGCGAGACUGGAGUGGGUCUUAGUGUCCUCCAAUCAUACUUUUCAUGGUUAUUUUCUGGCUUUUUUUUUCUUUGGAAGAGGGGAAUAUAGCAAUGAAUGAAAUUCCUUUGUGAUAAUAUUCUAUGCUCUAUACUGACAGCUAGGGCGUUGUUCUGGUUUCCAGUGUAAGCACAUCUCCUUUUAUCAGUAAAUAGUACUGCAUAGCUGCCAUGGUAAGUUAUAGCAAAAUAGGAAUAGGUUAUAUCCCUAGUGUAGAAAUGGUAAUAACCAGGGUGUACUUUUAUCUUUUAUCGUUUAUCUUUUGUAGCGAGGAUAAAACAUUGUUGAAGCAUUUUGUUUUGUUGUCAUAACUCCUGAUUGCAGAUGUGGUAACUGAGUACAUUGAAGGUCUAGCUGAAACAUAUCCUGGCCUGCAGUACUUGGAUGGUUUUCCUGAGGUCAAGGUUGUUUUACGUGCUGAUGUUUCGAGUGAUACAUAUGAAAAGGUUGCAAUUAUAUCAGGUUUAUGACGCUGCAAAACAUUUGAACACCAUUUCUUUUCCAGCAUUGGAAUUUUGAACCUAUAUGGCUUGCCACAAAACUCAACGUGGAGGUAGUGGACAUGAACCUGCACAUGCUGGAUUUGUUGGAGAAGGGAUGCUCACAGCUGCUAUUUGUGGAGAAGUUUUUGCUUCUCCACAAGUUGAUUCAAUUCUUGCGGGUAUUCGAGCUGUGACUGGUCCCAAGGGAUGUCUAUUGAUUGUCACGAAUUAUACUGGUGAUCGCUUAAAUUUUGGUUUGGCUGCAGAGCAAGCAAAAUCUGAAGGUUAUAAAGUAGAGACUGUAAUUGUUGGAGAUGAUUGUGCUUUACCUCCAUCUCACGGCGUAGCUGGCCGGCGAGGUCUGGCAGGGACCAUUCUAGUUCAUAAGGUUGCUGGAGCUGCUGCUGCUUCUGGACUUUCUCUUGAUGAGGUUGCUGCAGAAGCAAAACGUGCAUCUGAAAUGGUUGGAACAAUGGGUGUUGCAUUGUCAGUUUGCACCCUGCCUGGUCAGGUUACUUCAGAUCGUUUGGGUCCAGGAAAGAUGGAACUUGGUCUUGGAAUUCAUGGUGAACCUGGUGCUGUUGUGGCUGACCUUCAGCCUGUUGAGGUUGUUGUUUCACAUGUUCUUAAGCAGAUCUUGUCACCGGAAACUAACUAUGUUCCAAUAACACGUGGUAAUCGAGUGGUGCUCAUGGUCAAUGGACUUGGUGCCACUCCUGUAAUGGAGCUGAUGAUUGCAGCUGGAAAAGCAGUCCCUCAGUUGCAACUGGAGCAUGGACUGGCUGUUGAUAGAGUGUAUACUGGGUCAUUUAUGACUUCUCUUGAUAUGGCAGGAUUUUCAAUUUCCAUAAUGAAGGCAGAUGAAGCAAUUUUGCAAUGGUUGGAUGCUGCAACUAAGGCUCCAUUCUGGCCUGCUGGAAUUGAUGGUAAUCGUCCACCUGCCAAGAUACCUGUUCAACUGCCAUUGAAUCACUUGAUGAACAAUGAUGAGUCAAUGGGUCGGCCACUACAGUUAAGUGAGCAGGGACAAAUUCUUGAGGUGUGUAUUGAGGCAGCAGCAAAUGCAGUUAUCGAUCUUAGGGACAGUUUAAAUGAAUGGGAUAGCAAAGUAGGUGAUGGUGACUGUGGAUCAACGAUGUAUAGGGGUGCAACAGCAAUUCUAGAGGACAUGAAAAAGUAUUAUCCCCUUAAUGAUGCUGUGGAAACAGUAAAUGAAAUUGGAUCAUCUAUUAGAAGAGUUAUGGGAGGAACGAGUGGGAUUAUAUACAAUAUAUUUUGCAAGGCAGCUCAUGCACAUCUGAAAUCAAACUCACAAUCAGCUGUGACGUCAAAACAAUGGGCUGAAGCACUUGAAGCUUCAAUUGCCGCAGUCAGUAAGUAUGGCGGGGCUAGUGCUGGCUAUCGCACUUUGUUAGAUGCACUUAUUCCAGCAUCAGCAGUCCUUCAGGAGAGGUUAAAUGCUGGGGAUGAUCCUUUUACUGCUUUUGUUCUCUCAUCUGAAGCAGCAUUGGCUGGAGCUGAGUCAACCAGACACAUGCAGGCACAGGCUGGCCGCUCUACCUAUGUCUCUACAGAUAUCCUUGCAUCAGUUCCAGACCCUGGAGCUAUGGCUGCAGCUGCAUGGUACAGAGCAGCAGCUUUAGCCAUCAAGAACAAAGAGCCUUCAUAAGCUGAUGCAUCUAAUACUCGUUGCAAUUCGUGGUUCUUUUUGGUUGCCGCAGAUAUAACCGAGCUAAUUUUUUGUUGAUUAUUGGAAUCUGUUGUCUAACUUAGGCUUUAUGCUUAUGCAAAAUUUUGUGGUAAAGUUCAGAGAGCAAGUUUCAUUUUUUGCAAUUCUCUAUAGAAAAUGUAAAUUUCAAAGGACAGUGAAAUCAUCAAAUUUCAUACGUUUCAAAGUCUUGGUUGUACUUCGCACCUAUGUAACAUUGGCUUUGAGUAGACCUGGUUAUGAUCCAGAAUAGGACUGUAGGGGGUUCUCGGUCCUGAUUGGAUUUUUAUUUAGUCUUGUAUUGAUCAAAUAUAAAGAUUGAAUUUUUUUUUUUUUCCAAA
rnacentral:misc_RNA from 1 species